AGGAGGAACGGCCCCAGUGGCGGGGCAGCUCUGGAAACCUGGAACUCCGGAGCUCUCCGUCUGCAGGGCCUGGAUGCCCCGGGGCGGG
rnacentral:pre_miRNA from 1 species